rnacentral:lncRNA from 1 species
GAGUAGUAAUUAAUAGAUUAGACAUGGUGUUUAGUCUUGCAAUUACCUGGAAUUGCACCCAAUCCUGCGGAUUGUUGUGGUAGCGCUAGGGUAGUGACAGCCAUAUCGGUCGACGUAUUCCACCACGUUCGGAUCGGUGUUUGUAGGACCGUAGUCAGACCUUCCUAGCCCCCUUCUCAUCUCUUUCUGUGGUUAGUGCUCUGAUGUCCCGAUAUAGAUAAUCUUGAAGUAAUUCUUGAUUCUUAGAAACUUCCUCUCUUCCCACCAAAAAUAAUUAUAUAGUUAUCCUUGGGCGAUCUUGGAUCUUCAUUAGUACACUCACGUUCCCUGUGGAAAAUCGAUACUCUGGAAUACUCCCGGGUGAAUGGGCAGACUAUGAAGGAGAAGUAGUAAGGUCUGAAGACAUACAGCUUGAACAGAACUGUCCUGAGAAGACCGUAGCACCGAGUCAGGUGUGGAGAGAGAAGAUAGUUAUACAUGAAGACCAGGCGCUGCCGGAACCACUGACUACGCCAUCCAGCGAAUCCCAGGACGACUGAGAAUAUGGAGAGUCCCGUUCGGAGGACUUAAAAAACUGAACGCCUUGCCAAGAGGUAAACUUGGUAGUUAUCUUUUUCCUUUCAUUUUUUUAAAUAGUUUGCUUAGUUAAUCAGGUUCAUAUCAUCUUGAAAAGAAAAUAAAAAUGUUAAAAAUAGUAAGCCCCAUGUGAUUAUGCUCAUGGCAUAAAACCCAUAAGUACAUUCACUGUGGUGGCAUAAAAAUAAAAUAAAUAUAUUCCUGUCCUAUAAAAAUGAGAAUAUAAAAAUAAAUAAAUGAUCCUACUAAAGAGAGUAAUAUUUAUUGAGGAGGCUCAACAUGAUAAAGGCUAGAUAUUUAUGCUAACACUUAACCAGUUCCACAAAGCUUUGUUGUCUAUUUGAGCUCCACAGAAUUCAAGGAUCAAAGAAGCAGACGGAGGACAUCCUAAUCGCUAUCAUGGUGCUGCCGACAUUCAAAUACACCUCCGCCACCUGCUAGCUACAUCAGAAGAAAUUGCGUCAAAAUCCAGCUUGGGGGAGAGCACCCCCAUUUAUCCAGCUAAGUGUUCUACUCAUGGUUAUACUUUACUCAAAUAAUAAAAAUACGCAUAAUCAUAAAAACCUAAAUAAAGAUUUUGUGCUUACAUAUAUAUAUCUUUGCUUAGUUUGCUAAAUAAAUAAAUAAAUAAAGUUUUCUAUGAACCCUCAUGAUAAGCUCUCACAUGGAAAUGAUGAAUAGUUGCUCUACCAUGACUAGUUCUCAAAAUUGAAAUCUCUCUCAAGUUUAGGCAUGACUGUUAUUAAUUAAGAUUUGCUCUAAACCUGAACUUGUGGGGAGAGUACUUGAUCUAAAGUCUAAGUCGUUAACGGAUAUGAUAUGGGAAGGUUGAGCUGUUGUUUAUCUGUUCCUAGAGAUGCUAGAAUUCUGGAGAAUUUUAUCUUUGAAAACCUUGAAAAUGUUGCAUGAUGAGUUCCUGUGGAAAAUCGAUACUCUAGAAUACUCCCGGGUGAAGGCUACAUCGGUAUCCGUGCGAUUGCGGAUUUUUCUGUUUGCGUUUAAAAUACCCAACAAGCUUUCUGGCGCCGUUGCCGGGGAACGGUAGCUGUGCUAGUUUCGAACCAAGUCGUCCGUGUAUCCUUUUUCUUUUCCUUUUUUACCACACUCACCUUAUCAUUUUCACCAUACCACAUGGAUUUCACUCUAAGCAUUUGUCGACGAAAGCUGGUCGGCAGUCUACCUUGGGGUAUACCCACGGUAGUAGUUUAUCGGUAGACGGUGCGCAAACUACGAACUCGAUGGUGACGCAAGACACGGACAAGCUUUUUAUCCAGGUUCGGCCGCCGAGUUGGCGUAAUACCUACGUCCUGCGUCUGGUUGUAUUGAUUUGUGCUGAGAGAAUAUGAUGUCCUAGGGGGGUCCCUUGCCCCUCCUUAUAUAGUCUGGAGGGCAGGGUUACAGAUCUGGAAACUAAUCCUAGUCGGUUACAAUUGCCAUAGAUAAUUCGAUAUCAAUUCCUAUUCUAACCGACUAGAAUCCUGCUUGAUCUCCACGUCUUGUUUCCUUGCGCGAAACUCCGAGCUGUCGGAUCAAGCCUUGAACUCGUCUCGUAGUGGGCCAAGCUUCCUGGCUGAAGUCUAGCCGUAAGGGUAUAGGGGUUUAUACCCCCACAGCUAGUCCCCGAGCACCAUGUAUUGUGAUGCAACACGCCGUCUUGAGCUUCUUCGAUCAGCGAGGCUUGGCGUCUUCAAUAAGUGGGAAAAUCGCCCAAACAGUUGCAACGGUUCCUUGACCAACUCGAAAGACAGUUGAUCAACAUUGACAUCGAAGAAGCAGGUUGUUCGAAGAAUGCAUGGUGCUCUUAAAAAAAAUUUCUUUCCUGGUGAAGUGUGCCCACUUUACCUUUUUGAAAGGUAGAAGCAUCAAAAAAGCAAGCAAAUUCACCGCUAGGUGAAGUGUGCCCACUUAGUCCCCGAGCCUGGUAGUAGGUGACGUAGGCACGUGGUGCCAGGGUCAAAAGAAAAUUCCCCAAAGUAGUUUUGAGACUGAGAUGCAUCGCUAGAUGCAUCGUACCGAUGUAGUCCCCGAGCUUGCUGGAAGGCGAAUUAUGAGCCUUGUAGCAAGGUCUAAAGUGAAUUUACCAGUCCCCGAGCAUGUCAUGCUCGUCUGCAAUUGAAAAGACCAAUCGACCAGUCCCCAAGCACUUAGUGUGCUUCUUGGAAUUAUAUGUUGCUAUACUGUACGACCAGUCCCCGAGCGUCGAGUGCUCAGUGGUCGGUGCAUGCUUUAAAGCUUUGAGCUGAUAGACUGAGCGACCAUUCCCCGAGCGUCGAGUGCUCGGUGGUCGGUGCAGUCCUUGAAGUUCUGAGUUGAUAGACUGGGCGACCAGUCCCCGAGCGUCGAGUGCUCGGUGGUCGGUGCAGUCCUUGAAGUUCCGAGCUGAUAGACUGGGCGACCAGUCCCCGAGCGUCGAGUGCUCGGUGGUCGGUGCAGUCCCCGGAUUGUUGACUCACUGGCGUAUGUGUCUUCUUACUUUUGAAAAGAUCUUUCCAGUUAAAGUUGACGUGACGAGGUCUCCUGACGAUAUGUCAGACGGAUGCAUGAAAAGUUGCACCUGGCAACUGUACAACCGCUCUUUGCAUGGUUUGAGAAAAGGAAACCAUCAAUUGGUACGAAAACUCCGCCGCAUUAAUUGUCUAUAAUCAUUGUAAACCGAAACGCCGCGUCCGCCGCAUGGCCUGCCCACUUCCCGAGAAUACAGGAAGUGGGAGAGGUGGAGUCGCGGGUUUAUAAGGGCCUAAUAGGUCCGCCUGUACCGCUUCGCCUGCCAUUGCCUUCAAAACUUCCGCUCUCAUCUUCUCCAAUCUCCUGCAUCUUCCUAACUCCAGCCCACAUUCGCACCUCUAAUGGCGAAGAGCGACUCCAGGAAGAGGGCUGAACUGAUGGCCAAGGAGUGGAAGAAGUCUCGCAGCACCACAAAAUCUCUUGGUGACCUCGUCGAUAUGGGGCUUCUGCACGGCGCAGAGCUCGGCGGCUGGAGGGCACCGGAGGGGGAGAGCUACCCCGACCCUCGCGCCAGUGAGAUCGUCGUUUUUGAAGAUUUCGUUAAGAGAGGCUUUGGUGUUCCUGUUCAUCCUUUUCUUCAAGGUCUUCUUUUGUACUAUGAGAUCGGGAUUUGCAAUCUGCACCCGAACUCAAUUCUCCUUAUUUCCACCUUCAUCCACCUGUGCGAGGCCUAUGUUGGCAUAGAGCCGCACUUCGAUCUUUUCCGGUAUCUUUUCUGCUUGAGGAAGAAGGGAGCAGUUGGAGGCUCCAAGGUUGCAGGUGGAGUAUACCUCAACCUUCGUGACGGGAUGAAGAAUCGCUACCUGCACUGCCCAUGGAACACUUCCUUGACCGAAUGGUACAGGAAGUGGUUCUACAUCAGGGAGGAACCGGGCAGCUCCACGUUCUGCGACGUGGGAUACAUUCCUGAGAAGAGGACGAGCUGGACCGACCGCCCGGAGUUCGACGGUCCAGUGGCGGAUCUCAUGAAGCUGAUCGAGUGGUCGCGCCUAGACGGGCUUGGCGUGGUCGGCAACUUCAUUUGCCGCCGGGUGAUGCCCUGCCAGAAGAGGGUGCACUCGGCGUACGAGUAUGCCGGAAGCGCAGACCCGACCAGGAUGCGGUCGGAGAUCUUGGAGAAAGCGGAGGUACAACAGCUGUUGAACGAGCUGUUUAACUUCGCGGAUGGGGGCUUCAUCCGUGGCAGUGAUCGGGUGCAAGCCUUCAAGUUAGGACGACCAGCACCAAAGGUAUGUAGCAGAUUCUUUUUGAUCAUUCGUAUAUCGUCUGCAGUUGACUCAUCUCUGUUGCUUUUGCAGGUCGGCGAUGUCGACCGGUGCACAGUGUAUGUAUCACUGGCACCGGGGAUGGAAAAUCCUGCGGGAGAGGUCCCGCCAGAGGAGGACGCUGCUCGGUGUACUCAUUACACCAGCAGUGAGGAAGACCAAGCCCGCCCCGUCCCGACAUCCGAGGAGAGGGUAGCGGGGAAAAGGCCAUUGCCGGCAGAUCCCUUGCCGACACCGGAGCUGCCGGCAGAUCUACCGGCGGAGAGCAGCCAAGCACCGAAGCGUCGUCGGCUCGUGCGGAUCGUCGACGACGACGACGACGAGGAGGCUGCGCCGUCGUUGGUCCGACGGCCUCGGAGCCGCCCAGACACUGCGCCGGUCGCCACUGAUCGAGUGGCCAGCGGCGCCGCUGCCCCGCAAGUUGUCGAGAUGGGGGCACAGGUGCCGACCGGCCGGGCCAGGAGGAGGUUCACCGCGACCCACCGUCGGUCAGACCUAUAAGUGUUCGACUUACGUAUUUUGGACUCCUUCUCUUUUUUUUUUAACUUUUGUUCCUGUAGUGCGGCAUCGGAUGUCGACCCUGGCCAAACUGCCAGCCAGGGAACGGGCGAGCCUGCCCGCGGUUCUGGGGAUGCGGCCCCCCAGACCACAGAGCAGCCAACAGCUGCAGUCGCGCCUGGGAGCACCGAGGGGCUCCCGAGCGCGGCGCCGACUACAACAAGCAGCCCGACCAGGGCUGGAGAGGCUCCCCGAACUGACUCCUCAGAGAAGGGAAGAUCUCCGACCGCUCCUCCUGCCGGGGGGAGUGAAGUCCCCCCGCCGCCCCGAGCAGGAGCCUCUUCGGCUGCGGGCUCCCCAGGUCUGGUCCAAGGGCCAGUAAUACCUGGGACCACCACCGGGGGUGACGCAGCACAGGAGGAGGAAACCCGGGCGGCCUCCGAUGACGAGGUGGAAGAGAUCGAGGGUCGUCCCCGUGAUGGCCGCCAACACGUGUAUGUGUGGCGCCAACGCGGGGAUCACUUUAUCGGGCAUGAGGAGCUCGCCGAGACCGAAGAGGCCGCCAGGGUGGAGCGCGCGGCCAAGCGCCUCGUCGACGAAGUCAAGGUAAGCGGCUUUUUGUGCUGCUGCGCAUUCUUUUGCCUUGUCUUGCAUGAUCGUUAUAUGCUUGCUUUGUAGGACGUAAUGAAAACGGCGAAGUACCGGAAACGGUGCUUUGACCAGAUAGAAGGCGUCAUGGCCGAGAACAAGGCCCUUGCCGCGGAGGUAGACCGGUUGCGGGCGGAGGUCGGGGAGAAGGUGGUCGAGAUGAGUGCCGAAAAGGAGCGUCGUCUCGACCUCGCUCGUCGUUUGGCCGACCAGUACCGGCUGCAAGAAGGUUAGUCACACGCUCCGAGCAGCUUCGCGUACUUGUAUAGUUUGCUUUGCUGACCAGUUUAGGAUUCACGCAGACUUGGAGGAGGAGGUGGCGAGCCUCCGACAAGAGAAGGAGCAGCUCAGCCAACAGCUCGCCGGUGCGCUGGAGUCCGGGCGGCGAGCAGAAGAGGAAUUGGGUCGAAAAGACCGGGAGCUAUCUGGUAAUGGGUGCCGCCUUGUUGGUUGCUGCCUGCCCUUUUUUUAUGCCGAAAAUAACGCUUCGUUUCUUUUGCAGCGCUCAAGGUGAACGCCAAAAAGCACCUGGAUGAUCUGAUCAAGGACCGGGACUCCUGGAAGGUCAACUGUUGCAGGAUCUGGAAAGGAGUGUCCCCGGUCCUAGACCUGAUCAGUCCCGAGCUCCCGGAGAGCCAGCCCCGCGCGCCGCAGUUGACCCCGGUCGAGAAGGCGCAACGGGCGUGGGACUGGCUCCAGCAGUUCGUGAAGGACGCCGGGGAGUUUGCCGGCGCGCACGUCCUCAGCAUGGUGCGCGCCCACUACCCCCUGGUCGACUUGAGCAGGCUGGAGAAGGGGUACCCGAAGGAAGUCGGCCCGCAGGACGCGGACGAGCUUCGGGGCAGUCUGCUGGACUUGUCGUCGACGGUGAUCGGCGACAUCAAUCUGUGCGGAACGGCCACUCCUCCAGACCAGCCGAGUUCAGAUAGGUCGGCCAGGGAGUUGUCGGGCGCGUCCGUUGCGGGAGAUGGGCGGUCGACGCCUGCGGUCUCGACCAGCCAGGCGCCGGUGGCCCCGACCCCUUCGUCCGGGCAGCAGGGCCAGGCGGGUGAUCAGCCCGAGCAGCUAGGCCAAUAAAGUAGUCUGUAGGAAUAGACUAGUGUCUGCCCGUCAGGGUAUUUAUUGUAAACUUUGUAUGUAAAGUUUGUAAUAAAGUUUACUUUUUGUCAUGACUGUUGUUUUGAGCGCUGUAAGAAUAUCUGAGUGACGUGUCACCGUAUUUGUCUUGGUUGUCGCUAAGAGCAUCCAUUGCAGGAGUUUUGCCGAGUGCUGUGUGUGACAAGGUAUAGGCAAAAAAUAGAGAAUUUCAUUAUCAAAAAUUAUAAGAUACUUACAAAAGAAAGUCAUUAAAACUUUAUGGAUAGAAACGUCGCAGUUUGUCGAUGUGCCAAGAGUUAGGCACUCGUGUUCCGUCUGGGUAUGCCAAUCUGUAGGACGUAGGUCGUGUGACCUCGGUCACCACGAAGGGUCCUUCCCAGGGAGUGGAUAGCUUGUGCAUUCCCUCCUGGCUUGUUUUCCAUCGAAGCACCAGAUCGCCGACCACGAAGGAACGGUCCUUGACGUUCCUGUUGUAGUAUCGCCUGACUGCCGCGAGAUAUUUUGCUGUUCGGAGACAUGAAACUAAACGCUUUUCCUCCAUGCAAUUGAUUUCGAGUUCUCUGGCGUUGUCGGCGGUCGCCUGGUCGAAGUGCUCGAUUCUAGGAGAUCCGAAGUGUAUGUCAGACGGCAGGACCGCCUCUGCACCGUACACCAUGAAGUAAGGAGACACCCCUGUGUUUCGACUGGUCUGGGUUCGGAGGCCCCAGACCACUGCCGGCAAUUCUUUCAUCCAUCGACCGGGUGCUCUGUCGUUUUCGGUGUACAGCCUUUUCUUUAGGGCGUCAACGAUCAUUCCGUUAGCACGUUCGACUUGACCGUUGGCACGUGGAUGUGCCACUGACACAUAUUUUAUGACUAUGCCUCUGUCAUCACAGAAAUCCCAAAAAGUGGUGCCAGUAAACUGAGUGCCCAGGUCGGUGAUUAUGCUGUUCGGGAUGCCGAAUCUGUGUAUGAUUUGAUUGAGGAACUCCACAGCCUUCUCGGAGGUUGCCUUGACCAGGGGCAUGUAUUCAAUCCACUUGGAGAACUUGUCGAUUAACACGAAGACAAACUUGAAAUUGCCCGGGGCUGGUUUAAAUGGUCCGAUCAUGUCAAGCCCCCAGCAAGCAAAUGGCCAAGACGACGGGAUGGUUUGAAUUUCAUGGGCAGGUACGUGGGUCCUCUUAGCGAAAAACUGACAUCCUUCACAAUGCCGAACCAGUUUUUCUGCGUCGCCGACCGCGGUUGGCCAAUAAAAACCUGCUCGGAAAGCCUUUCCGACCAGCGUUCUAGAUGCGGCGUGAUUGCCGCAGGAUCCAGCGUGUAUGUCCUCCAAGAGCUUGAUACCAUCAUCUUGGGGUAUGCACUUGAGCAGUACUUCGGAGCUUGCGUUUUUCCGCAUGAGUUUUCCGUCGACCAGGAUGUAGUUCUUUGAUCGUCGGAUGAGGCGCUCGUUCUCUGUUUUGUCCUGAAAGCCAGUCCCGUCUGAUAUGUAUUUGAUAAACGGGGUACGCCAGUCACGCCCACCGGUUGUCGGAGUGGCGUCAUCUAUGUGCAUUGCCUCGGUGGGUUGCUUGUCGACCAGGGGGGAGCUUACGCUCGGCUCAUGGAUGUCCUGGACGAAAAUGCCCCGCGGGAUUUGGGCUCGAGAUGAGCCUAACUUUGACAACGCAUCUGCUGCUUGGUUCUUAUCCCGGACCACGUGGAUGUACUCUAUGCCAUAGAAGUUAGUUUCCCAUUUGCGAAUUUCUUUGCAGUAGAGAUCCAUCUUCUCGUGGGUUGCGUCCCACUCCUUGUUGAGCUGGUUGAUGACCAAAGCGGAGUCGCUGUAGACAUAGAGGUGCUUGACCCCCAGUUCAACGGCUAGUCGUAUGCCAUGCAAGCAUGCUUCGUAUUCGGCGACGUUGUUUGACGCCGGAAAAAGGAUCCGAAGGACGUAACGGAGUUUGUCCUUGUUGGGUGAUACGAACAAUAUCCCAGCGCCUGCACCGUUGAUGUUCAGGGACCCAUCAAAGAACAUUGACCAGUGGUCUGAGACAUCUGGAACGGAAGGCUCGUUGAGAUCCGUCCAUUCGGCAAUGAAAUCGACCAGGGCUUGAGACUUGACAGUGGUGCGACUCUGGAACUCUAGGGAAAAUGGACAUAAUUCCAUUGCCCAUUUCACGAUUCUGCCAUUGGCGUCUUUAUUGCGCAGGAUGUCCCCGAGAGGAAAGCUGGUUGUCACCAGGACUCGAUGGCCGUCGAAGUAGUGCUUCAGCUUUCUUGACGUUAUCAGGAUGGCGUAUAUAAGCUUCUGUAUUUGUGGGUACCUGGCCUUGGAUUCGUUUAAAACUUCGCUUAUGAAGUAAACGGGUCUCUGGACCUUGAAGACGUGACCUGGUUCAUCUCGCUCGACCACUAUUGCCGUGGAAACAACCCUGUCGGUUGCAGCAAUGUAAAGGAGUAGGUCUUCAUUGGGCUGAGGCGCUGUGAGGACAGGCGGUGAAGUGAGGAAGGUCUUAAGCUGAGUGAACGCAGCGUCGGCUUCCUCUGUCCAAGAGAAUUUUUCUGACGCUUUCAGUAGUUUAAAGAAAGGGAGGCCUUUUUCUCCCAGCCUUGAGAUGAAACGACUGAGGGCGGCCAUGCAUCCGGUUAGCUUCUGAAUAUCCUUGACGUUCUUCGGUGGUCGCAUGUCGAGUACGGCUUUGACUUUUGAAGGGUUUGGUCGUAUGCCGUCGCGACUGACGACGUUGCCGAGCAGUAGACCGGAAGGAACGCCGAAAAUGCAUUUCUUGGGGUUGAGCUUCCACUUGUACCUAUUGAGUGCCUUGAAGGUUCGGUCUAAGUUGUCGAUUAGGGUGCUCGCGUCCCUUGUUUUUACGACCACGUCGUCCACAUAGGCCUCGACGAGGUCAUCGCGAAUCUCGUCGUGGAGGCAUUGCUGGAUGGCCCUUUGAUAAGUGGCCCCGGCGUUUUUAAGUCCGAAAGACAUGGUAGUGUAACAGUAUGCGCCGAAGGGUGUGAUGAAGGAUGUUUUGAUCUGAUCUUCUUCCUUUAACGAGAUCUGGUGAUAACCAGAGUAGCAAUCUAGAAAGGAGAGGAGUUCGCAUCCGGCCGUUGAGUCGACCACCUCGUCGAUGCGAGGAAGACCAAAAGGAUCUUUAGGACGGUGUUUGUUGAGAUCGGUGUAAUCAACGCACAUUCUCCAUUCUUUAUUCUUUUUGCGUACAAGAACCGGAUUGGCGAGCCAAUCGGGAUGAUACACUUCUUUUAUGAAUCCGGCUGCUAGAAGCCGUGUUAUUUCUGUCCUAAUAGCCUCCUUUUUGUCACGAGCGAACCGUCGCAGUUUUUGCUUGAUUGGUCUUGCGGUCUUCGAGACAUUUAAGGAGUGCUCGAUCAGGUUUCGUGGGACACCGGGCAUGUCUGCGGGUUUCCAUGCGAAAACGCUCACGUUGUCCCUUAGAAACCUGACGAGCGCGUCUUCCUAUUUUGGAUCCAGGUUAGCCCCGAUGAGGGCUGUCUUCUCGGGGUUGCCUUCGACCAGCUGCACUUCUUUGUACUCCUUGGAUUUCGAAUUCUUUCUGGCUGUCUCCUGCUCAGGUAAUCGGAGCUGGUCGGGAGGCAGCUGUGCGGCUUGGUUUGCUGUUUCCGCCAUGCGGAUUGAGAGGUCAAUUGCCUCGGUGAUCUUGAAGCUUUCUUCUUCGCAGGUGUACGCAGUGUAGACGUUGCCUCUGAUGGUUAAGACACCCUUCUCCGUGGGCAUCUUAAGGACUAGGUAUGAGUAGUGCGGGACUGCCAUGAACUUUGUCAGCGAUGGGCGGCCCAGUAUGGCGUGGUAGGUCCCGUCGAAAUCCGCGACUACGAAGUUGAUGAACUCCGUCCGGAAGUGAUCGGGUGUGCCGAAUUGGACAGGCAAUGUUAUCUGUCCGAGGGGCACCGAACUUUGACCUGGCAAAACCCCCCAGAAUUGGGCGUCGUAAGGUUUUAGUUGUGCCGGUGAUAUCUUGAGGGCGGGCAGGCUGUUGCGGAAGAGGAUGUCGAUGGAGCUUCCCCCGUCCACGAGCACGCGCUCGAAUCUGAUGCUAUUGAUGCAGGGAUCAAGAAUCAGUGGGUAACGACCCGGCUCUGGGAUAGCGGCCCACUGGUCCUUCCUGCUGAACGAGAUCUCCCUGUGGGACCACGCGGGAAAUUUCGGAUCUGCGAUCAGCCCGUCCGUGCUGUCUAUGUUGAGGCAGGCUCUCUUUAACAGCUUUCUUUCUCGCUUGGACUCAGUGGAGACCUUGCCCCCGAAAAUGGAGUGGACCACGUCGGUGGGGCUGACGUAUUGGUGUCGGGGGUCCCUGUCUUGGUCCUCAUCCUCAUCUUCGUGGUCGUGCCCGUCGCGUUUGUUAUUUUUCUUGACGGAGUCCUCUUGGGCGGCCCGCCGUGUAUAGAUACUUUUGAGGACGCGGCACUCUUCCAUGGUAUGGUUAGACUUUGGGUGUAGCUGGCACGGUCCCUUCAACAUUUUGUUGUAGUCGUCUUGGUAGUCCCGUCGUCCGUUGGGACGUUUGACCGUAUUUACUUCGUGGUCGUAUUCGCGAGGGCGCUUUCCUCUGAAGUCGUCGCGGCUGUCGCGCCGCCGAUCCCAACCCUCUCGGUGAUCGCGGUUGUCGGAGCGGCGGUGAUUUCUGUUGUCGUAGCGACCACGACCGUCAUCUCGCCGAGAAGGCUGGUCGGGGCCUCUCGCGUCGUCUCGGAUUAGUUUUUCUGUGUCAUCAGCAUCGGCGUAAUUUUUAGCCGUGGCGAGGAGCUCUGCUACCGUUGAUGGGCGCUUACGCAACAGCUUGUUCCUCAACGCUUCAUGGAAACGCAAGCCCUUGAUAAAGGCUGAUAUGGCCUCGUCAUGAGAAAUCUUCGGGAUUUUGAGGCGCAUAUCCGAGAAUCGUCGGAUGUAAUCGCGCAGAGGUUCAUUCUUCCUGUCUCUUAUCCUUUCAAGGUCAUACUUGUUUCCGGGCUGCUCGCAUGUGGCGAUGAAGUUGUCGAUGAAAGCCUGUCGUAGCUCUUCCCAAGAGUCGAAGGAGUCCUCGGGCAAACCGAGAAGCCACUGAUGACCAGCCUGGUCGAGGACUACGGGGAAGUAGUUAGCCAUGACGUGCUCAUCUCCUGCCGCUGAUCGGACGGCGAUUUCAUAGAGAGUGAUCCAGUUCUCUGGAUUUUCCUUGCCGUCGUAUUUUUUAAGUUUUUCGAGCUUGAAAUUGCGGGGCCACACGACCUGGCGGAGGUGUGAGGAGAACUGCCUUAGGCCCGGAGGACCGUGGGUCGCAUCGUACUCGAUGCGGCGCAGGUUUUCGUGGACUGCUCUCUCUACGGCGCGCCUGUUGAUGCGGUCCCGGGCAUCUUUGGGAGGGAUGUUGUGGCGGAGAUCCCUGUGUUGAUCUUCUUCUUCUUGGCCGCGUACGCGGUUCUGCUGGCGGCGGCCAUCGGCGUCCCGGCCACCAUCGUCGCGUCGUGAGUCUGUGGCAGAACCUCCUAAGUGUUUGGGCCCACCGACACCUGCCAUUGUCCUAAGGACCUCUGACGGUGAUGCCGGGAGUCCUCCCACUUUAGAAGUCCGAUGAGCAUUGCUGGGCGCUCAUACCACUGCUACCUGUGGCGUACCGAGCUGGCUCGUCCUGACCACUGAUAAUGGUCAAACAACGAGAACUGUUUCUUCUCGCCCUUACAGGGUAGCAAGUGGCCACCUUAACACCAGGAUCAUUCGUCGCGAAGAUAAAGCAGUAACUCAACGACACAAGACCCAAAAUAGGAUUUCAGAGUGAAACAGCGGAAGUAUUACAUAACUUAAUUUACAAAAGGAGUUCUUCCAAAUAGUAGAGUGUUAUUACAAGCCUGGUCCAGCGGAGCAACUUAAACUUUAGUAGAGACACAACAAAUUUACAGACCCUGCCCAUGGGUCACGCUCACACUUCUUCGUCGUCAACCUCGACAACGGUCAUACAACAGGGUCCGAAACAAGUCGGCUCCUGAGCUUCACCUGCAACAGGGGUAUUGAAACCCUGAGUACGGGAGUACUCAACAAGACUUAACCGACGGGAAAAGAGGAGAAUUUAGGGAUGCAGGCUUAGGGUAGACAAGGGGUGGCUGAGCAAGGAGCCAAAGUGUUUUGCGGAAAAGCUUACUAGUAGUGCAUCCUUAUUCUCAAGUUUUACCCUGAAUUCCUCCCCCGCAGAGGCAGAAGAAUUCGAGGAUAGUCUAACUAGUUGUUCCCCACAGACGAAUCCGUGAGUUCCUAACCCUAUCAUUAAGUAUUAUUUAUCGAUGGUCAUAGCUUCAUGUCGCUAUGAGUCCGGGAAUUGGGAUCCGAACCUCAUGAGACAUUUUCCCCUUUCUCAUUAUAUCACUUAGUUGCAUAUUUAACUACGAUGAGGGUCGAAGGAAUUGAGUCUCCCAAUCGGGGAGCAACGACGAUUCGAAUCGCUUAGCAAUCCAGCUGGAGUUCUUAACCACCCGACAUAUGUAGAACCAAAUCUUGCAUAUAUCAACCCAAAUCAAGCUCUCCCCAAAUUUGACCAGGUUCGCGGCACCCGAGAGCACAGUACUCCACCAUCCUACAGCCGAUCUAGAUGUUUUCCGGUCAUCUCAGAUCCGUAAGGUGGGUACACACUACUCUCGCCAUCUUUCCACUCCCAGUGCGCGAGUAGCUGUUCGCGUCGAGGGAUCACAAGACUGGGCUUACCGGAGGCAAGUGGCUAGUACUAUAAAUUCUCAACCCAGCAGGCCAUCAACGGACCGGUCCUUAAUCGACACAGUUGGAGACACUACUUUAAGACUCCAUUCUUAAAGCAAGUCCACCGACCGGUCUCAAAUUAAAACAUCAUUGAUCAUAAGUGUAUCCCACAACAACCCUUCAAACUUUCAUGUUUAAAAACCUAUCUAGUAGCAGGGCUAAGCAUCGCUACGCAGUUUUAAAAUAAACAGGCGUCAAGGACAGGAUAACAGAUAUCAAGGUAGUAAAUGCAGCAAGUAGGUCAACCCAAUUCUCAUCUACCUAAUGCAGCAUUUUCAAUUCAUAAGUGAUAAAAGAUUUAAAACAUCCAAGGAGGGGUUAAUGCAUCCGGGGCUUGCCUUGGUUGCAGGGCAGAGAGGGACCCUCGGAGACUUCCCAAGUCUCGGAUCCGACUUCCUCGAACGGAGCACCGACCUCGGGGUUCGGUUCAACGGGCGCUCCUUCGGUCACGGACACUAUACGCAAAAUGAUGAAUGCUUAUGAUAUGCGUAUGACAAAUAUGUAAGAAGGACCAAAUCGAGUACAACUCGCCUUCUUGAUGCAAUACAGAAUUAUCACUAAAUAAAGUUGUUUAACAUCUUAAUGUUUUUACCCAAGAGGUUGUAUCUGUAAACUAAGACUUUACUUAAUUCAUAAUUACCUUACAUUAGGUAAUUAUUAAACCUAUUUACCUUAAUUAAUUCUUAAUUAAUUACUAAUGACAAUAAUUAAGCAUUAAGGCUAAACAAUAAUUAAAUGUCAAAGGUCAUUAGGGUUAAUGACCUCAGGUCAUCACAUAAUCCAAAAUCACUCAACCCUAAUCAUGAGGAUUUAAAUAAUCACUAUUUAAUUAUUUUGGAAUUGUUAUUUAAGUACUAAAUAAGGGUUUAUUAGUAUUCUAAUCAAACAUUAUCCAAAUGUCAUCAAAUUUUGUGUGGAGUCAGGGAAUAAUAUUCAGAGGCUCCCCACAAUUUUUGGUGAUUUUUGGACAUACAAAUAAAUUAUUAAAAUUCCUAGAAGUUUUAUUCAUUAAUUAAAAGAGCAAAUUUUUACAAACAUGCAAACUACCAGAAAACAGAAUCCACUAUUUUUCUUGUGUUCUACCCACUUUAUGGAACUUAUACAAAAACUUUCAUCAUUUUUGGAUUAGCACCUGAUUUAUUACACAAUUUCAAACAUCAAGUAAUUUUAAUCAAAAAGGAAAAAGAAAAGCAACACUGUGCGCAGGCGGCCCACUGGGACACGGCCCAAGUCGGCCUGGGAGCGAUCUCCCGCGCGGACCGCGCGCGUUGCGGCCCACAACCGCGCUGCGCAGGCGGCCCACGGGGACACGGCCCACACCCGCGCCGCGCGCGUCGCCCCUCCUCUCACGUGGACACUGACGAGCGGGCCCCGCUCGUCAGUUCCAUCUCUCUCGCGCCCGGCGGCCUUGCCGCGCUCCCGGUCGCCGCUGGCGAGGUUCAAGCCCCACACCAGGGUGCGCAUCAGUUGCGCUUCGGCCUUGCGACCCCAUAGGUACAACUCGAGGACACUCUACCGCUUUCCUCCUUCCUCGGUCACGCGAAUGGCGGGCGGCCACCCUGGCCGGCCGUAGACCGGUCCUCGGGGCUUGGUAGAGCACAAGCCAACAGGUUCGGGAGGGCCAGGAAGGGAUGGGGAUCAUGGUGCUCACACCACCACGGCGGAAGACACAACCGAGAAGCUUGGCGACGGUGGCCGUGCAGUCGGGCGGCGCCCCGGCUCCGGUGAGGUCGUCUCGGUGGCCCUGUUCACGUCCAAGGAGGGAAAACGAGCGCAUGAGCACCGGGGAAACAAGAAGAGCUCGAAACGACCGCCUUCAAGGCGUGGUACCGACUGGAGCAGUGUGUCCACGUGAAGGAUCCCUCGGCGGCGACCCUGGCCGGAGUUGGAGAAGAGCGGGUCGGGAAAGGGCUCUGGUGGGUUAGCGCUUGCGCUUGGGGGCGCAAUCGGUGGCUGGGCUCAAGGCGGAGUCGCUGGGGUGCGCACUUCGCGUGGAAAGGCAACGAGGAGGACGAAUUUUGGCGGCGGAUGGUGGUGGUCGGCGGCGAGGUUCAAAGGAAAGAAAAGAAACACUCCGGCCGUCCGAGGUCUUAUCCAAGCGGCAGAGCAGGGGAUGUGGAUGAGGCCGUCCGCGCGAAGCUCAGCAGCAGGUAGCUGCGUGGCCAGCUGCGUGGCGUCGCGCGCGGAGGCGGCGCCUGCCCGCCCUGCCACCGGGGUGAACGAGCUCGUGAUCCCCUGGAUCACUGUAGCUCCCCCUUAUCUCCUCUCUUUUGUCCCCUUGCGAAAAUCAGCCAAACUUUGAACUAAACUCCAAAUUCCACCAAAACAAAAAUUGUGCCAAAUUUUAUAAGCUACAAAACCUAUUUAAGAGUCCAGAACAAAUUUUGAGUGCAACAGGGUGAAUUUGGCCAAACAGUUUGAAAAUCAAACUCAAAUCAAAGAAAUUCCAAAUUUUUGAAUUGGGGCAAAACAGAAUUUCCAAAAUUACUUUUGAUUUUGUAUAAUAACUUGAAAAACUCCCAACAUGAAAGUUGCUCAACUUUUUGUGCUCUACAACUUUCAUGUUGACCAUUUUUCAAAAUUCCAAAUGGAUUUUGAAUUGGAGGUUUAAGUUGGAAAAGGGGACACUUUCUGGAAACCUGUAUUUUCAAAAUUACUUUGAAGUUUGUAUUGAAACUUCAAAAACUCAAAACACCAAAGUUGUACAUCUUGCCAAGAUCUACAACUUUGCUUCUGAACUCAACCUCAAAUUUGGUUUAGUUUUUGAAUUACACAAAAGGGGGCAGUUCUAGGGUUCAAAAAUCAGGGUUUUCCCCCCUUAGCUCUUCGGAAAUCUUUCACCCUAGGGUUUUAGCAUCCAACACAAGCAUCCGAACACAAUGUAAGCACACUUUAAUUCCCUAAGCACAAGCACUCAAAGUAAACUUAUUUUAAAUUGAUGCAUACUAAUGUGCUUUAACAAUCAUGCUUUGCAAUGUUUAUGAUGACAUGAUCCAUUUUUAAUAACCGUAACAUCAGGGAUGUUACAGCCCUUCCCCCUUAAAGAAAUCUCGUCCCCGAGAUUUAAAAUCUUAGGGUAAGUAAUGGAAAAGGAAAUUUGUCAAAACUCUUUCAUCUUCAACUUUUCCAUAAGGCAAGGAGUUUGGGAAAAUACUUCAUUAUAUGCAUAUAUGUACAUUCAGUACCAUGGCUUUGGCAACUCUGUUUCUUUACUAGAAUACAUCCUCUGGUUAUCAUAUAUUGUCCUGAAGAGAAGCAUGGAAUUCAGGAAAAUUCUCUAGCAAGUAAUCUUCAGAUUCCCAGGUGGCUUCCUCCUCAGAGUGCUGGCUCCAUUGUACCUUAUACCAUUUAGUGGUUGUCCUUCGAGUAAUUCUAGCUUUUUGAUCCAGUACUCGGAUAGGAUAUUCCGAAUAAGUUAGAUCUAGUUCAAGCUUUAUAUCUUCGAUAUCUUGAACUCGAUCCGGUACCCGAAGACACUUUUUCAGUUGAGACACAUGGAACACAUUAUGUACCCCGGAUAAUCGUUCGGGCAGUUUAAGGCGGUAAGCGACUUGCCCACAUCGGUCAAUAAUUGGAAAUGGACCAAUGUAACGAGGCGCUAACUUGCCUUUAACACCAAAACGAUUUACUCCUUUCAUUGGGGAUACUUUCAAAUACACAUGAUCACCUUUGGCGAACUUUAAUGGUCGACGUCUUUUAUCAGCAUAGCUUUUCUGUCGAGACUGGGCAACUUUCAAGUUAUUUUGGAUUUGUUUCACUUUGUUCUCAGUCUCUUUCACUAGGUCAACUCCGAAGAACCAUCUUUCUCCAGGUUCCGACCAGUGUAACGGAGUUCGACAUCGGCGACCAUACAGUGCCUCAAAGGGAGCCAUUUUGAUACUCUCUUGAUAGCUAUUAUUGUAGGAAAAUUCUGCUAGAGGCAAGCAGUCAUCCCACUUAUCUGGAAAAUUCAGGGCACAAGAUCUUAAUAGAUCUUCUAGGGUUUGAUUUACCCUUUCAGUUUGCCCACCGGUUUGAGGGUGGUAGGCUGUGCUGUGUAAAAGCUUAGUGCCCAAGGACUCAUGUAAACAUUUCCAGAAUUGGGAGACAAAUUGUGUGCCUCUAUCUGACACUAUUGUCUUUGGCACUCCAUGCAGACUUAGAAUACGGUCGAAAUAAAUCUUAGCAUAGGUGGAGGCAGGAUACAAUAGCUUUACUGGCAGAAAAUGUGCUGUUUUGGUGAGACGAUCUACUAUGACCCAAAUGGAAUCAAAGCCCUUGGCCGUUUUGGGCAAUCCUACUAUGAAAUCCAUACUUAUGUCAUCCCAUUUCCAUGCGGGGAUAGGCAAAGGUUGCAACUCCCCAGCGGAUUUGAGAUGAAUGGCUUUGACCUUUCGACAGGUGUCACAUUGGGCCACAUAGCGAGCUAUUUCUAUCUUCAUUUUUGUCCACCAAAACCUUUGCUUCAGGUCCUGAUACAUCUUAUUGCUUCCCGGAUGAAUAGAAUACCUCGUGGUAUGAGCUUCAUCUAGGAUUUGCUGACGUAGUUCAGGUACCUUUGGAACCACUAACCGGUUCUUGAACCAGAUUACUCCCGCCUCAUCCACCUUAAAGUCUGUGAGUGCUCUAUUAGAAACCUUCUCUUUAAGAUGUCUCAUGCCUUUGUUUUCUUUUUGUGCCUUUAUGAUUUGAGCCUCGAGAUUGAAAUCAAUCUUUAAAUUGGAAAGGCUUCCUUGGGAAAUCAUUUCUAUUCCCAAGUUCUCUAGCUCUUGGCACAAAGUUAUAUCCCUAGGCUUCACUGUUAAGCAAUUACAGUGAGCCUUACGACUGAGGGCAUCUGCUACUACAUUUGCCUUGCCGGGGUGAUAAUGCACCUCAAGAUCGUAAUCUUUAAUUAGUUCUAGCCACCUUCGCUGGCGCAUAUUAAGUUCAGCUUGAGUAAAGAUAUACUUCAAGCUUUUGUGAUCUGUAUAUAGAUGACAUGUGUUUCCCAACAAAUAAUGACGCCAGAUUUUUAAUGCAUGUACCACGGCGGCUAGUUCGAGAUCAUGGGUCGGGUAAUUCUCUUCAUGAGGUUUGAGUUGUCUGGAAGCAUAUGCAAUUACGCGACCCUCCUGCAUCAGCACACAGCCUAACCCGAUUCCUGAUGCGUCACAACAUACAUCAAAGGGUUUUUCAAUAUCUGGCUGGGCUAAGACAGGUGCAGUUGUCAACAACCUUUUCAGAGUCUGAAAAGCUUGCUCACAUUGGGGUGACCAAACAAAUUUUGUUUGACUUUUGAGCAAGGUUGUGAUUGGUUUGGCGACUCUGGAAAAGUCUGGGAUAAAACGACGGUAAUAUCCCGCCAUGCCCAGAAAACUACGGACCUCAUGUACCGUAGUCGGGGGUUUCCACUUCAACACAUCUUCUACCUUGCCUGGGUCUACAGCGACUCCUUCCGCUGAUAAUACAUGACCCAGGAAAUGAACCUUGUCCAGCCAGAACUCACAUUUGCUGAACUUGGCAUAAAGCUGGUGCUCCCUGAGACGGGUCAGCACGAUUCUCAAGUGUUCAGCAUGUUCCUUCUUAGUUUUGGAGUAAAUCAAGAUGUCAUCGAUAAAGACGACCACAAAUUUGUCUAGUGCUGGCAUGAAGACAGAGUUCAUCAAGUACAUAAAAUGGGCCGGUGCGUUAGUCAACCCAAAAGACAUUACCAAGUAUUCAUACAACCCGUAACGGGUUGUGAAAGCAGUCUUGGGCACAUCUUCCGGCCUAAUUUUAAUUUGAUGGUACCCUGAUCUCAAAUCAAUUUUUGAGAACACUUUGGCCCCAGCUAGCUGGUCAAACAAUAAGUCAAUGCGGGGCAAUGGGUACUUGUUCUUAAUCGUCACCUCAUUUAGAGGACGAUAGUCGACGCACAGCCUUAAUGUCUGAUCUUUCUUCUUCACGAACAAGGCUGGGCAACCCCAUGGAGAAGAACUGGGCUGAAUAAAACCCUUCUGUAACAAUUCUUGUAAUUGGGUUUUUAAUUCGGCCAGCUCUUUUGGUGCCAUUCUGUAGGCCCUUCGAGAUAUUGGGGCCGUUCCCGGUUUCAAUUCUAUACUGAAUUGUACAUCCCGGUCCGGAGGCAGACCUGGUAAGUCUUCAGGAAAUACAUCCGGGAAAUCUCGAACUACCGGGAUAUCUUUAACUUCAGACACAUUAGCGGCAUGAACUUGCCCAAUUGUCCGUUUGGGAGUAACUAAUUGGAUUAGCAAGUAAGAAUUCUCAUUGGGCAAUGGGAUUUUAAUGGUUCGGUGCAAAGUGUCUAGCACAACCCCUCGUUGCGCCAUCCAGUUCAUGCCUAAGAUAACAUCAAUUUCUUGGUCCUUAAGAACAAUCAUACUAGUAGGAAAAUCGUGCCCACCAAAUUCGAUGGGUACUUGGUGAACCAUUUCUUUAGACAUCAGCCGUCCUCCUGGCGACUGUAUAUAAAAAUGAUCUUGUGUUUCCCCAAUGGGUAUGCCAUGCUUUAACACAAAGGUGCGAUUAAUAAAUGUAUGGGAUGCACCAGAAUCGAAGAGCAUUAAAGCAGGAUGCUUCGCAACAGGAAACGUACCCAUCAUCACUGGUUCACCCUCGGGAAUCGUCUCCACUUCAGUAUGGAAGACUUGCCCUGUCCUCUUUACCGGUCUACCUUUCUGUACCUGUUGCCCUUUUUGAGCCCCAGUCCUGAACUGACUCGGCUGGGGUUGGCCCAUAGGUGGCCUGGGAAAGGUAGGGUUGGUUUGACGAGGAAAAGGGCACUCUUUAGAGAAAUGCCCAGGUUUACCACAAUUAAAGCAAGGGUAAUUGUGGCUGGGCGGAGCAGUAGGGCGAACACCCGGGGCGUUCGGCUGGCGUGGUGCAAAAGCGAUGGCAGUAGGUCGAGAAUAUACCUGUUGCCCAGGUCUGUACUGUGGAGGGGAGAAAGGACCACGAUAAGGUAUCGACGGUUGGAAACGUCCGUGGCCUUGUGGAUGAUAAAUGACCCUCUGGCGCUUUUGACCGCGACCAGAGAAAGAAGAGGAAGCAGCCUUCUUCUUAGCUUCCUUAUGUUUCCUAUUCUUUUCCUCUGAGGCGAUAGCAAUAUUUACCGCCUCAUAGAAAGUAGCAUUUUGGCAUGUGGUCAUCAUGGUCUGAAGUUUAGUAUUUAGACCACGCAUGAAACAGGCUUUCCUCUUUCUGUCAGUGUUCACAUGAUCCGUGGCAUAUUGAGAAAGAUGAUUAAACCUUGCCACGUAUUCCAUAACACUUUUGUCGCCUUGCUGCAAGGCGAGAAACUCUUCGGCCUUCAUGGCCAUGAGCCCUUCGGGGAUAUAGUGGGUGCGGAACGCGUCCCUAAACUCGGUCCAGGUAACUUGGUGUCCGGGAGCUUGAAUAGCUAAGAAGUUCUCCCACCAAGCACCUGCAGCUCCCCGAAGCUGCUGGGCUGCAAAUAAGGGUUUCUGAGUUUCUGAACACUGAAUUAAACUGAACUUAUGCUCCAUAGUUCGGAGCCAGUCAUCCGCUUCUAAAGGCUCAUCGGCCUUAGUGAACACCGGGGGCCUGGUCUCGGUGAAAUCCACAUACCGAGCCUCUCCAUCCCCGUUGCGCGGUGCCCUAGAGUGUGAAGCAGGGUGUGUUUGACGCUGUGCUAGCUCGUGCAGCAAGCGAGCAUUGUCAGUUGUGGCACUUAGCAGGACAGCAAUGGCGUCAGCCAAAGAAGGUGGAGCAGGUGGAGGGUUGGGGAUAUCAUCCCCUCCCUGGGAUGUCCCAGCUCCAUCGGAUCCGCGAGUACGCAUCGGCAUCUGUUACAAGAAUCGUAGAUACCUGUUACCAUGUAGAAUUCAUAACACAGAACAUAUCUUACAUUCACUUAUUAAACACUAAUUAGAUACACACCAAGAGUAAACAAGUUCAACUUCUCAAACCGAAAGAAAACUUAUAUUACAAACUCGAACCCCACUACGGCAAGCUAAGACCCCUACAACGACGUUGCCCUCGGUUUCACCGAACUAAUCGGUGUGGCCAGAGCUAUAGCCCGGGUCGUUGUUGCCAUCAUCUUGAUUACCCCCUGGAUUGUGAUCAUCGGGGUCGGACUCCUCUUCACCACUGAGGCCGGGAUCGGGUUCUCCAUCGUCUGCCAACUCGCCAUCCGUAUCCAUUUCUCCUUCGCCGGGAGGUGGGUGGAGUUGAUGAUACAGAUCAAAUGCAAUAUCACGAUAUUGCAUAGCCACGUCAUUGACUGUAUCUAAGUGAUAUGCCAGCUCCAGUUUCUCCAGCUGGAGCUGGUCCUCUCGUUGCCACGCGACAUCCCGUUGUGCGGUGACCGUGGCCGCCAUCUUCACAUACAAAUCCUUGAGAUACUUGGCCUUGCCCAACUUUGCGUUCAUCCUAGUUAGCUCAUGCCUAUGGGUGCUCCUAGCUUCUUCCUCUCGAGCAACGGCUGCAUUCCGCUCCUCCACCAUCCGGGACAACAUAGCUUCACAAUUUUCUGUAGCUUGUUUUUCUUUGGCCAGUUGAGCUUUAAGUUUGCCAAUCUCCAUAACAUUGUACAUUCUCUCUCUCAUCACCUCAGUCAACUCGGCGGACAGCCUGUCCACCUCCUGCUGAGGCGAUGUGCGGCUACUACUGGCUUGAUCACUGCGUGGAGCUAGCUGAUGUCGGGGAACUCCUUUUGGACCUGUCCGCUUACGCGGGGUCUGCUUCUGACGAGCCAUCCUGUAGAGGGUAAGUUUAGAUUAGUAAGAGAGACCUUAAAGGUUAGCAAGAAUAGGAUUGAUUCUAUUCACCCAACCCAAACAAGGAGGAAGGAACUUAAUCAGUUAAUACAUUAUGAUGCAUGCACGAACUUACGAUUCCUACUAACAAUUCGUAACGAUAUUACUUUAACUUUUACAACUUAGGGCAAUACUUUAGGUUGCUCCUCCAACCCACUUCAAAAAUUCUAAGAAAGCCUAUAGACAGGGAUAGGUUAGGACUAAGCACUUGGACUCAAAAUAGGCAGGUUCAUAGUAUUAGUUUCAAACGAAUUUUUGAAGUUUUUCAAAAGGUUCAGCAGUCAUCUUAGCAACGAAUGCUCUGAUACCAGCUGUGGCAGAACCUCCUAAGUGUUUGGGCCCACCGACACCUGCCAUUGUCCUAAGGACCUCUGACGGUGAUGCCGGGAGUCCUCCCACUUUAGAAGUCCGAUGAGCAUUGCUGGGCGCUCAUACCACUGCUACCUGUGGCGUACCGAGCUGGCUCGUCCUGACCACUGAUAAUGGUCAAACAACGAGAACUGUUUCUUCUCGCCCUUACAGGGUAGCAAGUGGCCACCUUAACACCAGGAUCAUUCGUCGCGAAGAUAAAGCAGUAACUCAACGACACAAGACCCAAAAUAGGAUUUCAGAGUGAAACAGCGGAAGUAUUACAUAACUUAAUUUACAAAAGGAGUUCUUCCAAAUAGUAGAGUGUUAUUACAAGCCUGGUCCAGCGGAGCAACUUAAACUUUAGUAGAGACACAACAAAUUUACAGACCCUGCCCAUGGGUCACGCUCACACUUCUUCGUCGUCAACCUCGACAACGGUCAUACAACAGGGUCCGAAACAAGUCGGCUCCUGAGCUUCACCUGCAACAGGGGUAUUGAAACCCUGAGUACGGGAGUACUCAACAAGACUUAACCGACGGGAAAAGAGGAGAAUUUAGGGAUGCAGGCUUAGGGUAGACAAGGGGUGGCUGAGCAAGGAGCCAAAGUGUUUUGCGGAAAAGCUUACUAGUAGUGCAUCCUUAUUCUCAAGUUUUACCCUGAAUUCCUCCCCCGCAGAGGCAGAAGAAUUCGAGGAUAGUCUAACUAGUUGUUCCCCACAGACGAAUCCGUGAGUUCCUAACCCUAUCAUUAAGUAUUAUUUAUCGAUGGUCAUAGCUUCAUGUCGCUAUGAGUCCGGGAAUUGGGAUCCGAACCUCAUGAGACAUUUUCCCCUUUCUCAUUAUAUCACUUAGUUGCAUAUUUAACUACGAUGAGGGUCGAAGGAAUUGAGUCUCCCAAUCGGGGAGCAACGACGAUUCGAAUCGCUUAGCAAUCCAGCUGGAGUUCUUAACCACCCGACAUAUGUAGAACCAAAUCUUGCAUAUAUCAACCCAAAUCAAGCUCUCCCCAAAUUUGACCAGGUUCGCGGCACCCGAGAGCACAGUACUCCACCAUCCUACAGCCGAUCUAGAUGUUUUCCGGUCAUCUCAGAUCCGUAAGGUGGGUACACACUACUCUCGCCAUCUUUCCACUCCCAGUGCGCGAGUAGCUGUUCGCGUCGAGGGAUCACAAGACUGGGCUUACCGGAGGCAAGUGGCUAGUACUAUAAAUUCUCAACCCAGCAGGCCAUCAACGGACCGGUCCUUAAUCGACACAGUUGGAGACACUACUUUAAGACUCCAUUCUUAAAGCAAGUCCACCGACCGGUCUCAAAUUAAAACAUCAUUGAUCAUAAGUGUAUCCCACAACAACCCUUCAAACUUUCAUGUUUAAAAACCUAUCUAGUAGCAGGGCUAAGCAUCGCUACGCAGUUUUAAAAUAAACAGGCGUCAAGGACAGGAUAACAGAUAUCAAGGUAGUAAAUGCAGCAAGUAGGUCAACCCAAUUCUCAUCUACCUAAUGCAGCAUUUUCAAUUCAUAAGUGAUAAAAGAUUUAAAACAUCCAAGGAGGGGUUAAUGCAUCCGGGGCUUGCCUUGGUUGCAGGGCAGAGAGGGACCCUCGGAGACUUCCCAAGUCUCGGAUCCGACUUCCUCGAACGGAGCACCGACCUCGGGGUUCGGUUCAACGGGCGCUCCUUCGGUCACGGACACUAUACGCAAAAUGAUGAAUGCUUAUGAUAUGCGUAUGACAAAUAUGUAAGAAGGACCAAAUCGAGUACAACUCGCCUUCUUGAUGCAAUACAGAAUUAUCACUAAAUAAAGUUGUUUAACAUCUUAAUGUUUUUACCCAAGAGGUUGUAUCUGUAAACUAAGACUUUACUUAAUUCAUAAUUACCUUACAUUAGGUAAUUAUUAAACCUAUUUACCUUAAUUAAUUCUUAAUUAAUUACUAAUGACAAUAAUUAAGCAUUAAGGCUAAACAAUAAUUAAAUGUCAAAGGUCAUUAGGGUUAAUGACCUCAGGUCAUCACAUAAUCCAAAAUCACUCAACCCUAAUCAUGAGGAUUUAAAUAAUCACUAUUUAAUUAUUUUGGAAUUGUUAUUUAAGUACUAAAUAAGGGUUUAUUAGUAUUCUAAUCAAACAUUAUCCAAAUGUCAUCAAAUUUUGUGUGGAGUCAGGGAAUAAUAUUCAGAGGCUCCCCACAAUUUUUGGUGAUUUUUGGACAUACAAAUAAAUUAUUAAAAUUCCUAGAAGUUUUAUUCAUUAAUUAAAAGAGCAAAUUUUUACAAACAUGCAAACUACCAGAAAACAGAAUCCACUAUUUUUCUUGUGUUCUACCCACUUUAUGGAACUUAUACAAAAACUUUCAUCAUUUUUGGAUUAGCACCUGAUUUAUUACACAAUUUUAAACAUCAAGUAAUUUUAAUCAAAAAGGAAAAAGAAAAGCAACACUGUGCGCAGGCGGCCCACUGGGACACGGCCCAAGUCGGCCUGGGAGCGAUCUCCCGCGCGGACCGCGCGCGUUGCGGCCCACAACCGCGCUGCGCAGGCGGCCCACGGGGACACGGCCCACACCCGCGCCGCGCGCGUCGCCCCUCCUCUCACGUGGACACUGACGAGCGGGCCCCGCUCGUCAGUUCCAUCUCUCUCGCGCCCGGCGGCCUUGCCGCGCUCCCGGUCGCCGCUGGCGAGGUUCAAGCCCCACACCAGGGUGCGCAUCAGUUGCGCUUCGGCCUUGCGACCCCAUAGGUACAACUCGAGGACACUCUACCGCUUUCCUCCUUCCUCGGUCACGCGAAUGGCGGGCGGCCACCCUGGCCGGCCGUAGACCGGUCCUCGGGGCUUGGUAGAGCACAAGCCAACAGGUUCGGGAGGGCCAGGAAGGGAUGGGGAUCAUGGUGCUCACACCACCACGGCGGAAGACACAACCGAGAAGCUUGGCGACGGUGGCCGUGCAGUCGGGCGGCGCCCCGGCUCCGGUGAGGUCGUCUCGGUGGCCCUGUUCACGUCCAAGGAGGGAAAACGAGCGCAUGAGCACCGGGGAAACAAGAAGAGCUCGAAACGACCGCCUUCAAGGCGUGGUACCGACUGGAGCAGUGUGUCCACGUGAAGGAUCCCUCGGCGGCGACCCUGGCCGGAGUUGGAGAAGAGCGGGUCGGGAAAGGGCUCUGGUGGGUUAGCGCUUGCGCUUGGGGGCGCAAUCGGUGGCUGGGCUCAAGGCGGAGUCGCUGGGGUGCGCACUUCGCGUGGAAAGGCAACGAGGAGGACGAAUUUUGGCGGCGGAUGGUGGUGGUCGGCGGCGAGGUUCAAAGGAAAGAAAAGAAACACUCCGGCCGUCCGAGGUCUUAUCCAAGCGGCAGAGCAGGGGAUGUGGAUGAGGCCGUCCGCGCGAAGCUCAGCAGCAGGUAGCUGCGUGGCCAGCUGCGUGGCGUCGCGCGCGGAGGCGGCGCCUGCCCGCCCUGCCACCGGGGUGAACGAGCUCGUGAUCCCCUGGAUCACUGUAGCUCCCCCUUAUCUCCUCUCUUUUGUCCCCUUGCGAAAAUCAGCCAAACUUUGAACUAAACUCCAAAUUCCACCAAAACAAAAAUUGUGCCAAAUUUUAUAAGCUACAAAACCUAUUUAAGAGUCCAGAACAAAUUUUGAGUGCAACAGGGUGAAUUUGGCCAAACAGUUUGAAAAUCAAACUCAAAUCAAAGAAAUUCCAAAUUUUUGAAUUGGGGCAAAACAGAAUUUCCAAAAUUACUUUUGAUUUUGUAUAAUAACUUGAAAAACUCCCAACAUGAAAGUUGCUCAACUUUUUGUGCUCUACAACUUUCAUGUUGACCAUUUUUCAAAAUUCCAAAUGGAUUUUGAAUUGGAGGUUUAAGUUGGAAAAGGGGACACUUUCUGGAAACCUGUAUUUUCAAAAUUACUUUGAAGUUUGUAUUGAAACUUCAAAAACUCAAAACACCAAAGUUGUACAUCUUGCCAAGAUCUACAACUUUGCUUCUGAACUCAACCUCAAAUUUGGUUUAGUUUUUGAAUUACACAAAAGGGGGCAGUUCUAGGGUUCAAAAAUCAGGGUUUUCCCCCCUUAGCUCUUCGGAAAUCUUUCACCCUAGGGUUUUAGCAUCCAACACAAGCAUCCGAACACAAUGUAAGCACACUUUAAUUCCCUAAGCACAAGCACUCAAAGUAAACUUAUUUUAAAUUGAUGCAUACUAAUGUGCUUUAACAAUCAUGCUUUGCAAUGUUUAUGAUGACAUGAUCCAUUUUUAAUAACCGUAACAUCAGGGAUGUUACAGAGUCCCCUCGACGGUUGUCGGGGGAGCGGCUGCGGCGACGCCUGCUGGGUGAGGCCCGGCUACGAUUAGUCUGGUCGGAGGCGGCUUCCGUAUAAGAGACGUCCUGGACUCUCUUGAGCAGAGUGGCUGUCUGUCCCAUUGCGGCGAUCAGGUGUGCUCGGAUGCUGGUCCGGACUCCCUGGCAUUCGGGGGUGUCAGGAAGCCGAUCCAGGUAGGCCAUGGCGACAGCCACGUUGGCGCUUGGCGUUUUGUAGACCGGCUGGUCCCCGACCAUGUCAAAGGCAUCGUUGAGGUUACUUGGUGGCAUCUGUUGUUGCUCGUCCGCACGCCGUCGGGCGCGAUCGGCGUUACGCUGUUCGCGGAGUUGCCUCUGGUCAUCUGUUUCUCCGUCAACAGCCGGUUCGUCGGCGCUGACAUUGAACACAAUAUCCCCUCGCCGGGGGGGGGGGAAUAUCGGGAAUCGGUCGAAACCCGGAGGGUGUGAAGGAAAAUCCAGGUCGUAGCCCUCGUCUUCGGUGUUUAUAACCUCGGUGGGGACGGAGCCGGUGCUUGAGUUGGUGCUGGAAACCUGGCCGUCCCGUAGCUCUCGGAUUGUCACCAUGUUGACAUGGUGACGAUUGUUCCUUGUCGGCGACCAGCCCGCCUUGCUAAAAACGGAUUGGACAUGCUGUGAGUAAACAGAGGCCGAGUUGUUCAGGCCGCAAGGAUAGUCUUCCUUUUUGAGCUCGACGGAUCGUCCUGAGGAGGUUGAGGUUAUCGUCAGGGACGUUCCCAGCCGUUCGUGUGUGGCGACACGAGUUGGCCGGCGGGAUUUCGAAAAAUCCGCUCGAGCAGCUUGGUCGGGCCGGCGCAGAACUCCAUCUAUUAGUUGGGAGACUUCGAGUAGCUUGGAGUCAGCGCGAUCGAGCGCUUGGAGGAGGUCCGAGCAGUCGAUCUCCUUUCCCUUGUAGAGUGGGAACGGUGGUCGGGAGCUUGGUGCCGUCAUGCGUGUGGUCGGAGACGGCGUGAUCUCAGAUUGGAUCUGGAUCUCUUUCGGAACCGUGGUCGCGAAGCCGCCGCUGCACGUCGUCCACGUGAUCUGGCCGACGGUGAACGUGAGGCCUUCGGGCACGGUCGCGGAAGCUGGGAUCGUGACCAUCUUGUUCGCCGGAAAAGUUGCACGCACACCCCCUACCUGGCGCGCCACUGUCGACGAAAGCUGGUCGGCAGUCUACCUUGGGGUAUACCCACGGUAGUAGUUUAUCGGUAGACGGUGCGCAAACUACGAACUCGAUGGUGACGCAAGACACGGACAAGCUUUUUAUCCAGGUUCGGCCGCCGAGUUGGCGUAAUACCUACGUCCUGCGUCUGGUUGUAUUGAUUUGUGCUGAGAGAAUAUGAUGUCCUAGGGGGGUCCCUUGCCCCUCCUUAUAUAGUCUGGAGGGCAGGGUUACAGAUCUGGAAACUAAUCCUAGUCGGUUACAAUUGCCAUAGAUAAUUCGAUAUCAAUUCCUAUUCUAACCGACUAGAAUCCUGCUUGAUCUCCACGUCUUGUUUCCUUGCGCGAAACUCCGAGCUGUCGGAUCAAGCCUUGAACUCGUCUCGUAGUGGGCCAAGCUUCCUGGCUGAAGUCUAGCCGUAAGGGUAUAGGGGUUUAUACCCCCACAGCAUUAAUGAGCAUGGAAUUUAUUUCAUAGCCACUGCAUUUACUCCAUGCUCAUAUGCAACAUCUUCCCAAUCUAUUGGUUUUUCCAACAUCACCACAUUCGAGAUCUCCAACCCCCACAUCCUUUCUAUUUAUAGAAACUUUAAAAGGGCGGUUGUCGAUGCAUAUGUAUAUAAUAAAUUUUGCAGAUCUCGUUGAGUUCAUCUUGAUAUAGGUCAGCGUUGGAGGGGAAACCACUUCACUGACAUAAAUUGAUGGUUUCCCAAGGACAAGCUUAGUGUCCUCAAACAAGCACUGAUCAGAUUGUAACAUGAGCUUUUAAUUAUUUACAACAUUACCUUGUGCAUUGAGCAUAUAAGGAUAAUUGUAAAAAUAUUCCUUCGGGUAUUCUUGUCACUAACCUUUCCAGGAUUGGAGCAAGAAGAUCGGAUGAAUGAUAAGCACAAGGUAUGUCCAACCAAUCAUCAUACAACAUUGAAUUAAAUUCAUCCAAACUUGAAUUUUGCAAAAUUCAAGCUUGGGGGAGUACUUUACAUAAAAACAUCCUUUGUCAUGUUGCUAUGUUGGUUGUCCCUACCUUUCAGACAUGCUCAAUUUGUUAAAUACUAAUCACACUACUUCAUCUCCACUUGAGUAGAACUCUAUAAAUGCUCUCAUGCUACCUUUAUUUGCUUUAGUAUAUGUCUAGGUUUGGAGUAGUUUCUUUUAUCUCUUCAUUAAGCAUGGUGCUUAUUUUAGGGCUGAUGAUCUUACUUCCAAGGGAGUUUAAAUUAAGCAUGAUGCUUAGGUUAAAAAGCCCUCCUAAAUCAAAUUAGACAUGGUGUCUAGGUUGAUUUUUGAGCCGAUAGUAUGCUAUAGUAGAUAUUGGAUAUUUUGUUGGACUAACCCCUGUAGGAAAACUUUCAAUAUCGACCUGGGAAGUCCUGAGAUAAACUCACAUUGGAGACAAAGAGAGAGACACAUGAAGUUUAACAAUUUGCACGAGGAAGGCAUAGCUCACAAGAGAUGAUCCAUGGAGGGUGCCACAAACAUGAUGCACAACCGCUAAGAAAGGAAAGCUUCCACAAGGAGAUAUUGUACCAUCACUCUUCAAGUAAGGUAACAUCUUAAGGUACUUGACGAUCACUUCUAUAAGUUUCUCCUUGGUUCUGGCGUUCACAUGAAUAAAAGAGACAAACAUGUAUGAUUUACAACUCUAGAUUAACCAACCCAAUCGAUUCAACAUGUUUAGUCCUUCCACCUUUGUGAUCCCACACUCAUAAUCAUAUGAGCUAAAAUGUGCACACUCAAUCUUUGGAAGAUAUAUAUAAAAAACAACAUAACUAUAGAUAGAUUAUCUUUCCAUUAGGUUGAGUGAUCUGAUCUGACAAAUGUUUUAAAUGCUACACUUAUGAUCUUAUUAUCUAUCAACUUUGUCUUGCUCACUAUGCUUGAGGUUAGAGAAGAACAAAUACACUUUUGGUUCUGUUGGUGUUUUCCACCAACAGGGCCCAUGCACUUGAUCUCUGCCUUGUCUCUAUGAGCAGGUACACUUCGAGCAAAAUAUGAAGGACUUUUACAACUCCCAGACUCCACCAAGUGAAGACCCUAGAUCUACGAGCACAAACACACUGGUGAGACUGGACACUCACACAAUCACUGCCCUGAGAUGCUUGAGGACGUAUCUACUGGAGUAACCCCAUUGUGGUAGUAAUUACUGACCUUCUGUCGGUCAAGAGAGACAAUCCAGGACGCCCUGUCAUCCCGAUCUCCAUCGGCAUGGUGGACUUCCCAGAAGCACUCUGUGACUUUGGCUCCAGCAUCAACAUUAUGCCCAGGGUACUCUAUGAAAAAUUCUUUACACAUCCUUUAUUAGAAACAGCCAUGUGUUUGCAGCUUGCAGAUCAUACGCUAAGUUUCCCAAAGAGAAUAUUGAAGAACCUCUACGUCCGAGUUGGUACCUUAUACGCUCCAGCAGACUUCGUGGUGAUAGAGACUGGUACUGAUGAGAGGGCACCCAUCAUCUUGGGGAAGCCAUUCCUAAACACCUCGGGAGCUGUCAUCUACGCUAGUGCUGCCAAGAUCAGUUUCUACAUCAAGGGGAAGAAGGAGACGUUUUCCUUCAAGAACAAGACUACACAAAUCUCAGAGCAAUCCCGACAUGAACCAAGGAAGAGGACCAACAGGAGGAACAGGAACAAGCAAAUGUAGACCGAGUCAGCUAAGAUGGUCACUGCAGUUCAAGGAGGUCAAGAUCGUCGACUUAAGUCGCCUUUCUUGAUCAAGAAGGAGGACCAUGGUGUUCCAAGCAUCGAGUGUACAAUCAACGGAUAUUCUUUUCAGAAGACACUCUACGACACCGGAUGUGACGUCAACAUAAUGGACGCAGUCACCUAUCAACUCCUGUUCGGAACCAUGCCACUAAAACCGACAUACAUUCAGCUACAGAUGAUUUUAAGGUUAUUGACAUGGGAGAAGACGAGUACAAUCCACCCAUCACCCUUGGAAGACCGUUCUUUAGCACCGUUAAAGCAAUCAUCUACAUUGGAACCGGAGAAGUCCACAUGCACUUCCCCUCUAUCAAGGUAUGUCGCUAUUUUAAUGACUCUAACUAUAUAGUUGAAGACUCUAAGCAGGUCAGGACAAGAAGAAGACGACGCAACCGCAACCAGAGGAGGCAAAUUAUCAAGGACGAAUGGGCAGACUAUGAAGGAGAAGUAGUAAGGUCUGAAGACAUACAGCUUGAACAGAACUGUCCUGAGGAGACCGUAGCACCGAGUCAGGUGUGGAGAGAGAAGAUAGUUAUACAUGAAGACCAGGCGCUGCCGGAACCACUGACUACGCCAUCCAGCGAAUCCCAGGACGACUGAGAAUAUGGAGAGUCCCGUUCGGAGGACUUAAAAAACUGAACAGCUUGCCAAGAGGUAAACUUGGUAGUUAUCUUUUUCCUUUCAUUUUUUUAAAUAGUUUGCUUAGUUAAUCAGGUUCAUAUCAUCUUGAAAAGAAAAUAAAAAUGUUAAAAAUAGUAAGCCCCAUGUGAUUAUGCUCAUGGCAUAAAACCCAUAAGUACAUUCACUGUGGUGGCAUAAAAAUAAAAUAAAUAUAUUCUUGUCCUAUAAAAAUGAGAAUAUAAAAAUAAAUAAAUGAUCCUACUAAAGAGAGUAAUAUUUAUUGAGGAGGCUCAACAUGAUAAAGGCUAGAUAUUUAUGCUAACACUUAACCAGUUCCACAAAGCUUUGUUGUCUAUUUGAGCUCCACAGAAUUCAAGGAUCAAAGAAGCAGACGGAGGACAUCCUAAUCGCUAUCAUGGUGCUGCCGACAUUCAAAUACACCUCCGCCACCUGCUAGCUACAUCAGAAGAAAUUGCGUCAAAAUCCAGCUUGGGGGAGAGCACCCCCAUUUAUCCAGCUAAGUGUUCUACUCAUGGUUAUACUUUACUCAAAUAAUAAAAAUACGCAUAAUCAUAAAAACCUAAAUAAAGAUUUUGUGCUUACAUAUAUAUAUCUUUGCUUAGUUUGCUAAAUAAAUAAAUAAAUAAAGUUUUCUAUGAACCCUCAUGAUAAGCUCUCACAUGGAAAUGAUGAAUAGUUGCUCUGCCAUGACUAGUUCUCAAAAUUGAAAUCUCUCUCAAGUUUAGGCAUGACUGUUAUUAAUUAAGACUUGCUCUAAACCUGAACUUGUGGGGAGAGUACUUGAUCUAAAGUCUAAGUCGUUAACGGAUAUGAUAUGGGAAGGUUGAGCUGCUAUUUAUUUGUUCCUAGAGAUGCUAGAAUUCUGGAGAAUUUAUCUUUGAAAAAUCUUUAAAAUGUUGCAUGAUGAGUUCCUGUAUGAUGAGAGUUUAAAUUCCUACCACAGCCAUAUAUACAUGCUUGCUAAACUUUGAGCCACACAUUUACUUUACUGCUUAUGAGCAUUGAGUGUGGUCAAGCUGUGUAGACCCUUAGGAGCUUGUCAUGUGGUUAAGUCAAGAUUCACUUGCACGUUCACUCAUACAUGCUGCUUCUACUCUGGAAGUACGCAUCCACAUAUAUCCAUUUCCAUCUCCAGAACCACCCAAAAAUAUUCUACUCCUAAUCCGGGAGAGAAUAGCCAAAAACAUUUCUGUUUUCCCCUUUGAAAUAAAUGCUCAAGUUAUCUUGGUUACUACCACUUGCUAUAUUAUUUCAGGAGAUGAGUGCUCUAAAAAAAGAAAAAAAAGAGAAAAAAAUAAAUACGAGGAAAUAAAAAGGGGCAGGUGCCCGGAACCUCGAAAGAAAAGAAAAAAAAGUGAGAUGAGAGGUAAAAAUGGACAAGUGUCCGACAGUAGAAUUAGGGGUACAAGAUACCCACCUGAGAGAAAAGAAAAAGAAAAUAUAGAGCAUCUCAUUCUCCUCAAAAAGUUUCAAAAGAGCAAGAAAGGUAUGUAUCCCCUCAAAAGAGCAUAAGUAGAAUUAGACUUUCACCAUUGUUAUCACCAUCAUUACCAUACACCAUUCAUUCGCCACACAUGCACAUCUUGAUUUGACUUAUUGACUUGUUCUUCUAGAUCCAUGGUUUGACUAUACAAUACAUGUCUUGUAAGUAUGUAUACUUUAUCUCCCACCUAUGAGCUCCAGAUAUUAAAGCCUUAUUAGAGUAGGGUGAGAGAGAAGACAAUGCCACUAUGCUUUAUACCAUAAAUACUACAGAUUUUGAGAGAAGGCGUAUACCAUCACUGCCUUGGUAAGGAUCCAGAAAUACCACAAAAGAGAGACUAGAGAGAGUCAUACAAGGAAUCUCUGAGUUUUAUUUGAAAAUCUGCAAAAACUCCAGAGCUAUAGUUAAUCGAAGAACAAGAGACAUGGUACUUGACUAGACUGUUCUAUCUUUUAACUACUCAAGACAGAAGUGACGGUUACAAGUCCUAUGGUGAAAGGUAAAUGAGUAAGUUUUAAGUCUUAACAGUUUACUCUAACCAGAGAUAAGAUCUUGUUUAAACGCAUGUGUAUCUUUAAGGCAUGAAACCACUGCACAAACUCUUGAGUUCAUCUUUGCUCAGGGACGAGCAAAGGUUAAGCUUGGGGGAGCUUGUUGACGGUCCUUAAUGCUCAUAUUUAACCAUCAAUUAAUCAUAGAAAAGGAUCCAAAUGCAACCAACACCUAGACUUAGGGUUUUAUCUGACAGAAUUCCACAAGUUUUGGUGUUUGUCUAUUUCUGCAGGGGGUUAUCAGGAAAUACAGAAGAAAGGCCCACACGUCGGGUUUACAUAGAGAUAUUAACGUGCCGCACAAUUAUCUACCAUCUAGAAGACUCCAGAAGCCACGGGACCGAAGCGGAGGCCGAGAGGGCUCAGGCACUGGGCGCCCGCCCUCCCCCCUGGACCAAACAGAGUCCAAUUCGGGGACAACACUCCACCGACCUAAUACUUCAAGGAAAACCACACGAUCAAUGUCGGUUUGAUCCGACGGCCCAGAUUCACUUGAAGGGACUAUAAAACCAGACCCCCCUGGCCCCUGGAGAUCAUACCUCUUCUACAGAAUCAAAGCUAGGGUUUCAAUUCUUCAUCCAAGUAGAGAGGAUCCCUCUAGUUCUUCUAGUUCUACCUCUAGUUCAUCUAGAUCUAGUUCUAGUUCAUCUAGUUCUAGUUCUAGUUCCUCUAGUUCUAGUUCUAGUUAGUUCUAGUUGUAAUCUAGAAAAUAGGGAGAGAGAAGAGGAGAGCGGAGGAGGAGCCGGAUCUGUCAGAUCUUCCUCAACAUUAUACUUUUGCAGCAACUGGUUCGUUCUUCAUCGUUCUCCAAGUUCUUCAAUUCAUAAUUCCUGAGUUCUUUAAUUACUUUUAUUUACAUUCAAGUUAUUUAUUGGAUUCCCGCUUGCAUCAAGUGCUCUAGUCUUUAUAACGCUAGAGUAGUAAUUAAUAGAUUAGACGUGGUGUUUAGUCUUGCAAUUACCUGGAAUUGCACCCAAUCCUGCGGAUUGUUGUGGUAGCGCUAGGGUAGUGACAGCCCUAUCGGUCGACGUAUUCCACCACGUUCGGAUCGGUGUUUGUAGGACCGCAGUCAGACCUUCCUAGCCCCCUUCUCAUCUCUUUCUGUGGUUAGUGCUCUGAUGUCCCGAUAUAGAUAAUCUUGAAGUAAUUCUUGAUUCUUAGAAACUUCCUCUCUUCCCACCAAAAAUAAUUAUAUAGUUAUCCUUGGGCGAUCUUGGAUCUUCAUUAGUACAAUCACGUUCCCUAUGGAAAAUCGAUACUCUGGAAUACUCCC